rnacentral:rRNA from 1 species
CAAUAGCGUAUAUUAAAGUUGUUGCGGUUAAAAAGCUCGUAGUUGGAUUUCUGCCGAGGACGACCGGUCCGCCCUCUGGGUGAGCAUCUGGCUCGGCCUGGGCAUCUUCUUGGAGAACGUAGCUGCACUUGACUGUGUGGUGCGGUAUCCAGGACUUUUACUUUGAGGAAAUUAGAAUGUUUCAAGCAGGCACGCGCCCUGAAUACAUUAGCAUGGAAUAAUAAGAUAGGACCUCGGUUCUAUUUUGUUGGUUUCUAGAGUCUGAUGGUAAUGAGUUAAUAGGGAUAGGUUGGGGCAUUCGGUAUUUAACUGUCAGAGGUGAAAUUCUUGGAUUUGUUAA